AAGUCGUAACAAGGUUUCCGUAGGUGAACCUGCGGAAGGAUCAUUAACACGUCUUUAUAUCCAAUAUAUAAACUAAACGCGAACUAAACCCCCGCCCUAUCAUUAUAAACACUGUCAAAGUUAAUUGGAUUGAUUUUUGACCCUCUUAAUUCUGACUGAUGGUAGGCAAUUUUAUUAACAAUCAUUUUAAACUCUUAUAACCUAGUUGAUCUAACUACUAAGACAUUCUAGUAUUCAUUCCUUCAGCAAUGAUAGUAUGAAUACUGCUUGUUGUUAUAUUACGAAAUGUAAGAACAACUCUUAGCAAUGGAUAUCUUGGUUCUC
rnacentral:misc_RNA from 1 species